GGAAGUCUCAUUCGGUAUUCCAUGCCAAUGCCAGGAUUUUGUUGUCUCUAAUCGGGUGUUCAGGGAUUAUGUUGAAAAUUUUUGGGGCCAAGUAGGCAUGGCUUCUCUGUCCCACACUUUUACUACAUCUUGGUGCUUGGUAUCUUACCCAACUUGAUGUCCAUAAUGAGUUUCAGAGCAUAUAAUUGCCUUACAUCGUGUACUCCUGCCAAUUCAAAUAGUUGCUAACUAGAAAAAGUACGUUUUUUUUAUAUGUAAUUUUUAGUAUCCAUUGCUGAAUUGUUUCUAAUCCUCUUAAGUGGCUCUGACAAGCUCCACCCCAUCCAACUAUUCCAUAACUAAUUUGUGAUGCCACCAGAGCCUG